UUAUUUGAAAUAGGAUACAACCUCCACCACUGGGUAAGAGGGGUAAUAAAAAUAAAGUGGGCCCAAAAGCAGCCACCUUUAAAAAAGCGUCAAAGCUUAACUAUUACAACCCCCAAUUACUAAAAUAUACACUAACCCCUAAUUCCUACUGAACCCAUUUAUAUUAUUAUAAAAACGAUAAUGCUAGAACUAGUAACAAGAACUUGCCAUUCUCCACAAUGUAAAUAUAGACCAAAACGGACAUUCCAUUGGUAAUCAACGUAAAUGUAAAACCAUAAUAACACAAAACCAGAAAACCUUAUGGCAACCACACGUUACCCUAACACUAGAACAUUAUAGGAAAGAUUAAAAGAAAGAGAAGGAACUCGGCAAAUUUUAGCCCCGCCUGUUUACCAAAAACAUCGCCUCUUGACUAAGCAUAAGAGGUCCAGCCUGCCCAGUGAUAACAUUCAACGGCCGCGGUAUUCUGACCGUGCGAAGGUAGCAUAAUCACUUGUUCUCUAAAUAAGGACUAGUAUCAACGGCAUCACGAGGGCUAUACUGUCUCCCCUUUCCAAUCAGUGAAACUGAUCCCCCCGUGAAGAAGCGGGGAUUUAAUU
rnacentral:rRNA from 1 species